GAGUACCAGCAUUGAUGCUAUUAUGAAUCUGUUAGAGUUGCUAUUGGGCUGUGAUUGCUCUUAAUUUCCAUCCAAUUUGAAUCCUUUGUUUGGUUACAACCCCGGUCACUGCCGUGAAGAUUAACAAUGCUGCAGUUCCGGUUGCUACCUUGCCAUUCCGGUUGCGUGACAGUCACUGCUGCUGCCAUGAAACUAAAAGGGAAUGGAAUUGUUACGUUAAAUUAUGCAAUUGUGACAUCGAGCGACAGGUUUGAAGACGCAAUUUGAAGCUGCGAGCGAUCAGUAGGCUUUCUUU